rnacentral:rRNA from 1 species
GUCUGUUUGUAGUUGUAAAGAGUUUAACCUGCCCAUUGAUAAUUUAAAAGGCCGCGGUAAUUUGACCGUGCAAAGGUAGCAUAAUAGUUAGUUUCUUAAUUGGAAUCUUGUAUGAAGGGUUGGACAAGAAAUAAUCUGUCUUUAUAUUUUUUAUUGAAUUUAACUUUUAAGUGAAAAGGCUUAAAUAAAUUAAAGGGACGAUAAGACCCUAUAAAACUUUAUAUUGUUUUGUUAUAUAAUUGAAUUUUAAAUUAUUAAUAAUUUAUUAACAUUAUUUAUUAUGUUGGGGUGACAAAGGUAAAAUUUUAAUUAACUGUUUUUUUUUAAUAACAAAAAUAAAUGAAAUAUAAAAUGAUCCUAAUUAAAGAUUUGAAGUUUAAGUUACUUUAGGGAUAACAGCGUUAUUUUUUUUGAGAGUUCUUAUCGAAAAAAGAGUUUGCGACCUCGAUGUUGAAUUAAAAUAUCUAUAUAAUUGUAGCAGUUAUAUAAGAAGGUCUGUUCGACCUUUAAAUUUUUACAUGAUUUGAGUUCAAACCGGCGUGAGCCAGGUUGGUUUCUAUCUUUUAAUUUGAAAGUAUUA